GAAGGGAGCACCUGUGCCUCAAAAGACCCCAGAGAGGCAAAAGCUCAAGAUGCCUGAGCGACUGAGGAAGGAGUUGCUGCAGCAGAAGCCUCAAGCCUCUCCUGUACAGGGUGCUCCCAUGCCUUCCAAGUCCCCACAGGAAGCACCUUUACCUGACAGGAACCCUGUGCAUGCCGGGACCCCACAGGGAGCAGGAGUGUUUGCCAGGUCUCCACUGGCAGAGGCAGUGCCCGCUGAGCCUCCGAAAGGAGCAACAGUUCCCUCCGGAACUACGAAGACAAGAAAACGGAGGCUUGCUGAGGAUCAAAGCAUUCCUGUCUCUGCCACCCAGGCACUACCCAUGCCCUCCAGGACCUCAAGCGUGACGCCUGUGCAUUCUGGGACCCUACAGGGAGCACUUGUGACCAAAAGUUCCCCACAACAGGGAUCAAAUCCCAGAAUCACUGAGCAGCAGAGGCAGAAGCGGAGGGAGCAGUGGAGACAGCAGCAGAGACAGCGGAGGCAGCAGAAAGCAUCAGACAACGUCGAUGUGUGUGAGCCGCCUCCACAAAAAAAGCUGGGUGUGGAAAUCGAAAAGGUGCAGCUGAAGCUCAAACUGGGGAAGCAUCAAACCCCAAAGCCCAGGUCCCAGCUCACCCUGAAGAUGGAUCAUGCAGCUGUGGGUCAGCAGUCACCUCCAGAAAAAAAGCAGCGCAUGGCAAACAAAAUCAAAGGCCAGCAGUUGGGACCAAGCGGCUUAAAGCAUUUAUGUAGCAUAUUCAUAUGUUUAACUGAAUAUUUGUAAAUAUUUAUUAUUAGUAUAUAUUGUGUUUGUCCAUAUUUAAUAUGAUUGUAUGCAUAAUAAAAAAUAAAAAAUAAUCUAUCUAUC
rnacentral:lncRNA from 12 species